CCUACGUGUUGAAGGUCUCAUCUCCUGUCCAGAAUUUUUUCAGAGCUAAAUACUUGACUUUGUCUACGUUUUGUGGAAAUGAGGUGUUUCCCUCUUCUUCCAUGCACAUGUGUUUCAAGAAAGUGUCUGGGGAAAGAAGAGAUUGUGGGUGUGUAUGUGUGUUUGUGGGCAGCCGUACUACCACAGUAGACACCAGCAAAAAUGACACCUUUUUGUUUCUCCUGGCAGGAUCCAAGCGUGAAGGCACCUGUGAGAGGACAGAGAACCCCUGUCAUGAAAUGCAGUGCUGGAGAGAGCAAGGGGCAGCUUCCAGGAGACGAUUGGGCUCAUACUGUGGUUUCCCUACUGCUGCUGCCCAUGGAAAUGAGUGUCCGGCAGAGACUCGGUGUAUAUCUGAGGAGGAGGAAGAAACAGCUCUCCGAGAGGGGGCUGUGUGCGCGGAGAGCCACUUGCAAGAACCACGUUACACUCCGGAGUCCAACGGCCCUGCAAUACCACAGCUCUUCAUGGGUUGGUCAAGUUGUCUGCAGUCAGAGCUAAAGAGACACGGAGCAGAGCAGGAUCAUCACAGGAGAGCACCGUGGGAUAACAAGAGAUCCACGACACAGAGGUGCCCAGGCCAGAAGAGAGACAUCGUGGACCACACCUGCUGAUCUCCAGCACUGCAUCCCAUGUCACCACUGCAUCCCAUGUCACCACUGCAUCCCGGCUUACCGCUUCUCCUGUCCUGGCUCGCAGCACCUCGUCACUACAUGAACAACCGUUUUAAAAUGCAGAAAACACACAGAAAGGCAGAAGUGGAUUAGCCAGAGUGAAAAAAACACCAUACUGGUUUGAAGCCAUGCAGAUAAAUCACGUGAUGUAGAGCGACCUGCUCUUGGGAUCCUUCCAAAGACCUGUGCUGGGAAAACUCAAAGAUAAAGGUAGGGAAUGGCAUACAGUAAGUACAGAAUUUCUUUGUUAAACAAAGGAGGAGAAAUACAGGGACUAGUUCUCCUUUCAGUCCAAUUUUAAGCAAGACCUGUGGGUUUGUAACACUUGUGCAAUGCACCAACAAGAAACCGUUCCUCCACGCCGUCCUACAGCAUCCCCACGCUCUCCCCAGGGACUUUGGGAGUCGAGCAGCUCCCAAAGCAGAUUAUGGCUUUUGCAGCCCAGUGCUGGUUUGCAAUUAGACUUUUUUUUCCCUCUCUCCCAGGGCUAAAGCCUCAUUAGGCGGGGGUGGGGGGGCACCACAAUCUGUCCUAGUUUUAAAAUGCUCGCUGGAGUACGGAGAGAAUUUGGCACCUGGGGCUGUAUGCAGGAAUGUUGGCUUUGCCAGCCAAGUCCUUCCCUGAUCUGCCCCCAAAGAAACAGCAGCAGCUUGCUGAGAUUAAGUAUUCGUGCCUCAGUUUCCCCGCUGUAAAACAGAGAGGUUAGCAAUCUGUAGCUGCAACAGGCACUGUGCCAUCAUUCAAUCAAGCGUAUCGUGUGUUGGCUUCCUCCAAAGUCAGCCUGAUGUUGAACUCAGGCUUUUUUUUAUUCAUUGCAAUGCAUAAAAGGAAAAAAAAACCAGGGUCUGUGAUCUUACACCCACUGUGGAGAGGAAGCCCCGUGCUCUUUGUGCUUCCCUUUUUCCCUGGCAGGCACGGCGACCGCUCAGAGCCACUAAAAACCCUGUGGGACACGGAUGGCAGGGAGAAAGCAGAGAGUCAGGGACUGGAGAACACGUGUUAUGAGGAGUGGCUGAGGGAACAGGGAUUGUUUAGCCUGGAGAAGAGGAGGGGGAGACCUCCUUGCUCUCUACAGCUCACUGAAAGGAAGUCGUAGCGAGGUGGGUGCUGGUCUCUUCUCCCAAGUGAUAGGAUGAGAGGAAACGGCCUCAAGUUGCACCAGGGGAGGGUUAGACUGGAUAUAAGGAAAAAUACCUUUCCUGACAGAGUGCUGAAGCAUUGAUAGAGGCUGCCCAGGGCAGUGGUGGAGUCCCCAUCCCUGGAGGGGUUCAAAAAACGUGUAGCCGUGGCACUUUGUGACAUGGUUUAUUCGGCACGGUGGGGUUGUGCUGGCGGUUGGACUGGAUGAACUUAGAGGUCUUUUCCAACCUUAGAGAUUCUACGAGUUUAGGGCAAGCAGGCACAGGAACGCCCUCCUGCCCACCCAUAGCCGAUGCUCUCUGCAGCCUCAGCAAGGCUGACACACAACCCUCCCUUGCCCAGGGAGCCGUCUUUUUAGCAGCGCAUCCACUUAUGAUACUGUUUUAUAAACAAUAACAGCUUUCAGGAGCUGCCUCGGCACAAGCCCUGGAUGGAGCUACAAGGCUGCUCCACCGGGCGUGGGCUGAGCUGAGGAGCUUCAGCGCUGCCCUGAAGUACACCCAGCUCUGCAACAGCUCAGAACCAGCACAACCUCCUGAACGGAGUUGUCCUCGUUUCCUUCAGCCAAUUUGGGCUGGAUGGAGCUCUCUAAGACAAGCAAUUGCAAGGGAGAGAAAGCAGUAGUGGAGACGGAAGAGGACAUCUUCAAUUAGAGCUGCGAUAGCUGUAAAGGUUACCUGCAGCCACGAAAACACGGUUACAAAACCACCUCUUGUAAACACCAUGAUUAACUCAAUCCCCACCAAAAAAAGCAACAAACCCAAUUAAAUGAGGAUUCUGGUCGAUCCUAUACAGGGAUUGCAUUAAAAAUUGUCAUUUUGAUCUCGCUGCACCUCUGGUGUUUAAAGCUUCUCGUGAAAGCUGAGCUGGCUUUUGGUUUAAGGACACUGUGUGUGUAACGAAGAGUUACAGUCCUGUGGUCUCUCCGGUGAAGUGGGAUCAAGUUGAAAUUAAAUGUGAAGUCUCCUUCCCGCAGAUUGAAGUCUUAAAAGCAAUCAGAGAGGGGAAAAAUGUGUCGCUGUUUGCUGCAGCCUGCUCCUAAUCAGGCCAGUGAAAUCUCCUUUGCGCCGACGUGCUCUAGCGAAGGAAAUCAGGGCUGAAAAACAGCCUUUAUGUAACAGGGAUGAUGCUUCCCUUCCGUGCUAAGAGCUGUGCCAGUUCUCUGCUGCUCGAUAAUUGCUGUAUAACCCAGCAGAGGAGUAUUUAACUUGACGCGUCACUGGAGCUGCAGUUCAGCUCCAGGCGCUGCCACUGCCGGACGAACACCGCUGCAGGAAGGGCUGAUGCCAAUCCCACCAUGGAAAGGCCGAAUCAGGGGAACAGCGGACAAAAACAAGCAGCCUGUGAAGGUAGGAAAUGGAGCUGGGGAUCCCAGUGCUCCCAGUACACAUCCGCAGGUAGCGGUGGCGGAGGUGUUUGUCCUAAACUCGUAGAAUCAUUAAGGUCAUCGCAUCAUCGCAGCUCAGGGUGGUUCUCCUGGCUCAGCCAACCGAGAUGUCCCCAAGCUUCCCAGGGGUGAGAUGGCCACAGGUGCAUCCAUAUCAGAUCCAGGAUAAAAGCUGGAGUGUGAUGGAGCAGAUAGGAGAACCUGAAGCCUAUGUGAGCCACACUAGAGGACUUUGGGGUCUUUAGAGGGGCUCAAUGGGUACCUAAAUAAAAGCACUGCCAAAGCAUCCAGUGGAAAGCGCUGAGCUUUAGUCCGUGGCAAAACCGUGUGCAAGGAAUGGCACCA